CCUACGGGAGGCAGCAGUAGGGAAUAUUGCACAAUGGGGGAAACCCUGAUGCAGCAACGCCGCGUGAGUGAUGACGGCCUUCGGGUUGUAAACCUCUGUCUUCAGGGACGAUAAUGACGGUAUCUAACGAAUAAGCAACGGCUAACUACGUGCCAGCAGCCGCGGUAAUACGGAGGUGGCAAGCGUUAUCCGGAUUUACUGGGCGUAAAGAGAGCGUAGGCGGGAUUGCAAGUCAGAUGUGAAAUCCUCGGGCUUAACUAUAGUGCUGCAUUUGAAACUGGUAUUCUAGAGUGUAGGAGAGGAGAGUGGAAUUCUUGGUGUAGCGGUAAAAUGCGUAGAGAUUAGGAGGAAAACGCGUGGCGAAGGCGA
rnacentral:rRNA from 1 species